rnacentral:lncRNA from 1 species
AAAGAUAACCGUGGAGUUUAUGUAGGAUCACCUGUGGUGUGAGCUGGUCAGUUAGAGACUGCUAUAAACAAACAAAUCCAGCGACCAUCCCGUGACAGAAAAAUUUAUGAACAACAUGUCUAAUAUUCUCACAAUUCAUUUCCAUGUAAAUAAUAAAGUAAUUACCGAGCAAUCAACUUUGAGAAUAAUUUAGGUUGACAAAAUAAGAUUGACAUAAACUAGUCCAUAGUUUGACAAAAUAACUCAGUCCAUUGCAGCGAUCCGUACAUCAACGAAACGCCCAAGCACAACAGAAACGCCCAACAUUUUUCUUAAUUUUAUGAAAACGAUCUUUGAUUUGUUUUUCUUGCCUCGUCCUAUUUUUCAGUGUAGUGCUAUUAUAUUCAGUGAUAACAUCUCCCCAGUAACGAUCAUGUUUUCCACAAUUUUUAUUCUUAAUCUAUACAUACAGUAACCUAUCGUCAAAUAAUUCUGUUGCAAAAAACAGCUCUUAUGUAUCUGUAUGCUAAUUUGAUUGGUCACUAACCUAUGUAGUAACAGUUAUUGAUAUUCAGUCUAUAUCUAUGCGUAGUUC